rnacentral:misc_RNA from 1 species
GAUGAAGAACGCAGCGAAAUGCGAUAAGUAGUGUGAAUUGCAGAAUUCAGUGAAUCAUCGAAUCUUUGAACGCACAUUGCGCCCCAUGGUAUUCCGUGGGGCAUGCCUGUUCGAGCGUCAUUUACCCCCUCAAGCUCCGCUUGGUGUUGGGCGUCUGUCCCGCUUCGCGCGCGGAUUCGCCCCAAAGGUAUUGGCAGCGGUCGUGCCAGCUUCUCGCGCAGCACAUUGCGCUUCUCGAGGCACCGGUGGGCCCGCGUCCAUCAAGCUCACCCCCCCAGUUUGACCUCGGAUCAGGUAGGGAUACCCGCUGAACUUAAGCAUAUCAAUAAGCGGAGGA